CGGGGCGUAGCGCAGCUUGGUAGCGCGCACCGUUCGAGACGGUGAGGUCGGAGGUUCAAAUCCUCUCGCCCCGA
rnacentral:tRNA from 1 species